CCUACGGGAGGCAGCAGUGGGGAAUAUUGCACAAUGGGCGAAAGCCUGAUGCAGCGACGCCGCGUGGGUGAAGAAGCGCCUCGGCGCGUAAAGCCCUGUCAGCAGGGAAGAAAAUGACGGUACCUGAAGAAGAAGCCCCGGCUAACUACGUGCCAGCAGCCGCGGUUAUACGGAGGGGGCAAGCGUUAUCCGGCUUAACUGGGUGUAAAGGGGGCGUAGACGGCGAUGCAAGCCAGGAGUGAAAGCCCGGGGCCCAACCCCGGGACUGCUCGUGGAACUGCGUGGCUGGAGUGCAGGAGGGGCAGGCGGAAUUCCUGGUGUAGCGGUGAAAUGCGUAGAUAUCAGGAGGAACACCGGUGGCGAAGGCGGCCUGCUGGACUGCAACUGACGUUGAGGCCCGAAAGCGUGGGGAGCAAACAGGAUUAGAUACCCCAGUAGUC
rnacentral:rRNA from 1 species